UGUUCAAUUUCUCAAUCACUUGACCUUCUGGUAACUCCCAAUUAAAACCGUGAAUCGAAGUAGCAGUCAUAAAUUGCGCUAUUCUUUUUCCUAAGUGGAAACUACCACCACACCCAUUUCUCAGAUUUUUCCCAUCCUCAAACCCACCGUCAGAAAAGUUCACGGACGCAUCCAUUUUUCUUUGACAAAUUUAAAAGAGGCCCAUAUCUUCUGAAAUUUUUUAUUUUUUCAAAUGGAAAUAAAGUUGGGUGUUUCCUCGUCAGGAAGAGAGGAAAUAAUUUAGAGGUCUGAUUUUAUCAUAGAGAGAGGAACUUACUUUUAUAUAAACAAGGAAACUCUUGGACGACGACGACAACGUUAACAUCCUUCUUGUAUUAUUUCACUCUGUUUUAAUCCAUACCCUAGAAUCAUAAUAUCGUUACCUAGAAUCAUCAAUCAGAUCAGGAAGAAAGAAAGAAGGUUACAAAUUCUCUUCAGAUUUGUCUCAUUCAGUUACUCAUGACUGAAAUCGAUGAAGGCAAAUCGGAAUCGGACAAUUUCUUGAUGGAAUUUUAUAUCCAUGAUAACAUACUUAUAGGGGAAGGUGACUCAGAAACAGAAAUUGUUUCUCAUAUACCAGUAUGUCCAGUGAUUGUGUUUGUCAAUUCUAGAAGUAGUGGACAGCUAGGUGGUGAUUUGCUUAUAACUUACCGCAACCUACUAAACAAGCAUCAUGUAUUUAUUAAUUUUCAGCCUGUACACAGGUGCUUGCAGAAAAGUGGAAAUCGACAUUGAUAGAUGUUUUUACUGUUAAUUUUCCUUUGGUUGUCAUCUUUAUAAAAGUCUUUCUUUUGUUGACACAUAUAUCAAAUUGUUCAAGGAUCUCUUGUUGUUCCUGUUGGAAAUUUAA